rnacentral:rRNA from 1 species
CCCUUAGAUGUCCUGGGCUGCACGCGCGCUACACUGACGUACGCAACGAGUGUCCUUUACCGAGAGGUAUGGGUAAUCAUUUGAGUGUACGUCGUGAUGGGGAUAGAAUAUUGUAAUUAUUACUCUUCAACGAGGAAUUCCUAGUAAGCGCAAGUCAGCAGCUUGCGCUGAUUACGUCCCUGCCCUUUGUACACACCGCCCGUCGCUCCUACCGAUGGGUGAUCCGGUGAAUGAUUCGGACUCGGUUGCCUCUAGCCACUAGUGGCGCUCGAGAAAGUUUUGUGAACCUUAUCACUUGGAGGAAGGAGAAGUCGUAACA